AUUGAACGCUGGCGGCAGGCCUAACACAUGCAAGUCGAGCGCGAGGCGGACGGGUGCGUAAUGUCUGGGAAACUGCCUGCUGGGGGGGGGGAAAUACUGGAAACGGUGGCUAAUACCCCAUAUCCUCAGAUGUGCCCACAUGGGAUUUGCUGGUGGGUGGGGUAACGGCUCACCUAGGCGCCGAUCCCUAGCUGGGCUGAGAGGAUGACCAGCAACACUGGAACUGAGACACGGUCCAGACUCCUACGGGAGGCAGCAGUGGGGAAUAUUGCACAAUGGGCGCAAGCCUGAUGCAGCCAUGCCGCGUGUGUGAAGAAGGCCUUCGGGUUGUAAAGCACUUUCAGCGGGGAGGCGUUACCCGCAGAAGAAGCACCGGCUAACUCCGUGCCAGCAGCCGCGGUAAUAC
rnacentral:rRNA from 1 species